UACAGAGGUCUCAAGCGUUGUUCGGAUUCAUUGGGCGUAAAGGGUGCGUAGGCGGCGCGGUAAGUCGGGUGUGAAAUCUCGGGGCUUAACUCCGAAACUGCAUUCGAUACUGCCGUGCUUGAGGACUGGAGAGGAGACUGGAAUUUACGGUGUAGCGGUGAAAUGCGUAGAUAUCGUAAGGAAGACCAGUGGCGAAGGCGGGUCUCUGGACAGUUCCUGACACUGAGGCACGAAGGCCCAGGGGGAGCAAAACGGG
rnacentral:rRNA from 1 species